UGAGGGGGCUCAGGUGGGAUGAAGCACAAACAGAAUGUUGUAACUAUGGCAGUGAAGGCCAUGGCCAUGGGGGGGGGGGCUUCUGGGCUCUAUUCAAGAGAUUUAGGUUUUUAAAUCUGCUAUAAGCCAAUCUGAUUACAGGGAGAAGUUUGAUCAAGAUGGAAACAGAAACCCAUAAAAGAAAACCACGGCUUGUGAGCAACACAGAAGUACGGAGUUUUAUUUCUUCCCCACCUCCCUCUUUCACAAUACUUGCCAAGAGCGAUCAGCCUUCAGAUUAUCAGCCAAAAAUGGUGUCAAUAGAACCCUAAUUAAAGCAAAGUUGUUAAGCGUU